rnacentral:rRNA from 1 species
AUUGAACGCUGGCGGCAGGCCUAACACAUGCAAGUCGAGCGAGCGGCGGACGGGUGAGUAAUGUCUGGGAAACUGCCUGAUGGAGGGGGAUAACUAUUGGAAACGGUAGCUAAUACCGCAUACCAUCAGAUGUGCCCAGAUGGGAUUAGCUCGUAGGUGGGGUAACGGCUCACCUAGGCGACGAGCCCUAGCUGGUCUGAGAGGAUGACCAGCCACACUGGAACUGAGACACGGUCCAGACUCCUACGGGAGGCAGCAGUGGGGAAUAUUGCACAAUGGGCGCAAGCCUGAUACAGCCAUGCCGCGUGUAUGAAGAAGGCCUUCGGGUUGUAAAGUACUUUCAGCGGAGAGGCGUUACCCGCAGAAGAAGCACCGGCUAACUCCGUGCCAGCAGCCGCGGUAAUAC